UACGAGUGGUGCGAGCGUUAUUCGGAAUUAUUGGGCGUAAAGGGCGCGUAGGUGGCGUACUAAGUCAAUUGUUAAAUUCUCCGGCCCAACCGGAGGUCAGCAAUAGAUACUGAUAUGCUAGAGGGUGAGAGAGAGAAGUGGAAUUCUCGGAGUAGCGGUAAAAUGCGUAGAUAUCGAGAGGAACACCAAUGGCGAAGGCAGCUUCUUGGCUCAUCCCUGACACUGAGGCGCGAAAGCGUGGGGAGCAAACAGG
rnacentral:rRNA from 1 species